CAGGCGGUCAUUUGCUGAGUUAGGAAGCCGGAGUUAGCAAGCCUGGGGCACACUGGUGAUGGAAGCCAGGAGGGAGGAGGUAUUUGCACUGUCUCAGAUGAGACCUCAGCAUCCAAGAGCAGCCUGGACCAAAGACACAGAAGAAGUUAAAAACAAUCGCAAUGAAGAAGUUGAGGAGCCCUCUUCUGAUCUUCUGAUAAUGUGAAAAAUCCCUGGCAAGACCAGUCAGAAGUUAACUCCCAGUAGCCACCCUCUCUAUUUUAUAGCAGUUACUUCUUCAUAAACUAUGAAUGACUUUUCAAAAUCUGAAACCAUUCUGUAAAUAGAUUGUUCACACACAGGAGUGAGUCCCAGAGUACAAUCCCAAGAGCAGCAACAGUGGCUUUGAGGUCACCGGAAUUAUCUUGCCUUCUGUAAACUCUAAUGUACCCCACAAACCUACUUAAUCAGAAGGUGUUGGGGCGGAACCCAGCAGCCUUUUUUAGAGAAGCCACUAAGUACCUCUGUAUACAUAAAAUUUGAUAACCCUAGGACAUUCAAGGUCACCAAUUCCUUCACUUCCUCUUUAUGGCAAUCCACAACAGGUUACCAUGGGAACAGGACUGCUAUGAACUUAGAGAUGCUGUUAAAGGUAAUAACCGAGAGAGGAUCAGCAAACCUGAAUUGAGAUGCUGCCACAGAGACGACAAACAACAAAGUAGACCUCAUGCAAGUCUAUACCCUGCUAGUGACUGAUUUAGCAAAAUGAAGAGAGUGGUGCUGGGUUGCCAGUAAAUCAAUCACCUGCCUCCUUAGCACGGCAGAGGACACAGGGAAUCUAGGAGAGAAUUGGGCCGGGGAGCCUGGAGAUGUGGGUGCAGCCACAGCUCUGACUAUGCAGAUGCACUUGCAUUGCCAUGAACCAUCUCUGCACUGACGCUAGCAGCCAGCAUGAGUGACCGGAGUGAUCAUUUUGGACUGACUGCUGUCUUGAGCCCUUGAAUCUUGCUCUCAUCUCCAAGGUGCUUCUGUAUCAUACUUUGAGACUCACACUCAGCAUUUGAACCUGGAUGCCCCAUUCUGGACUCACUAUCUAAGCCCCACCUGGGAUGCCCCACACAGAGACCUCUGCCCUAGGCUGGAAAGAGGCUGGAGUCCCCCUCAUGGGAAGAGAGCCCAAGCCAUGAGGCUGAGCAAAGAGCAAGAGCUCUGGACAGUCCCAUCCCCCCUGCUGCCAGUUAAAGUAGGAAGAAAUGGAAACAUCUAGAAAUCUAAUGAUAAGUACUUAGACUAAUGGUGGGUUGUUUACCUGGGCGGGGUGAAGUUAUUUGGCCAUUAAAAAUGUUAUGGUGAUUCGUUGUACUGAGGGAAACAGGCCAGGCCAGGUGCAAACCCUGAAUGAUGGUUGUAAAUGUGAUGAUAGGGACAGAGCAUGUGUGAAUGCAUGCUAUGUUUCAGAGUCAAAGCAGUAGGUCUUCAGUGCUCACUAACUGCAUGUUUGAAGAUCUGUCUGCUUCAUAAAACUGGCUGGGAACCUCCAAGCCAAUAAGCCACCUUGAUUUUUCAGGCAUUCUCAGCCAUGCACAGAGCAAUUAAAAUGUGAACUGCCUGGCAUGUGCAAUCUAGUGGAUUUCAGAGACCCUGUGAGGAACUCUCUUCUCGGCUUUCCACCGCAGGCAUCCCUGUCAAGAACUACUUAGUGCCAUUCAUUCUGUAGCAUUUGAGAUUUCGUUAGUGACUUUGCUGUUCAGUAUUGUCUCCAUGGAGAAGUUCUACCUCUGGUUCUUAAGGUCAAGAAGGCUGGGUAGGCCUUAUGGAGAAAAUCUGUGCAUUAAAUCUACUUUGUUCUGACACAAUCUGUGUUCAGCCCGUUGGCCCCGAGUUUGCUGUUAUUAAAGAUUCUGCAACACACAGGUGUUCCCUGUCUU